rnacentral:rRNA from 1 species
UUAUACACAUUUAAGCUCUAAUACACAAGAUUUCAUUAAAACUCCAUAAUUAAUCGUGUUUGAGCGAGAUAAGUAUUAUGGUGAGUGAUUUUCUAAGAAGUACUUUUGUUGCACAUC